rnacentral:tRNA from 1 species
GCCCGCCUAGCUCAAUCGGCUAGAGCGUCAGACUUUUACGGACCUUGGUCUGAAGUCAAUCUGAAGGCUGCGAGUUCGACCCUCGCGGUGGGCU